rnacentral:rRNA from 1 species
UACGGAGGGUCCAAGCGUUAUCCGGAAUCAUUGGGUUUAAAGGGUCCGUAGGCGGUUUUGUAAGUCAGUGGUGAAAGCCCAUCGCUCAACGGUGGAACGGCCAUUGAUACUGUAGACUUGAAUUAUUAGGAAGUAACUAGAAUAUGUAGUGUAGCGGUGAAAUGCUUAGAGAUUACAUGGAAUACCAAUUGCGAAGGCAGGUUACUACCAUAAUAGUGAUUGACGCUGGAUGGAACG